rnacentral:rRNA from 1 species
UACGGGGGGAGCAAGCGUUGUUCGGAUUUACUGGGCGUAAAGGGCGCGUAGGCGGCCAGCACAAGUCAGUUGUGAAAUCUCCGAGCUUAACUCGGAAAGGUCAACUGAUACUGUGCGGCUAGAGUGCGGAAGGGGCAACUGGAAUUCUCGGUGUAGCGGUGAAAUGCGUAGAUAUCGAGAGGAACACCUGCGGCGAAGGCGGGUUGCUGGGCUGACACUGACGCUGAGGCGCGAAAGCCAGGGGAGCGAACGGG